GAUGAAGAACGUAGCGAAAUGCGAUAAGUAGUGUGAAUUGCAGAAUUUAGUGAAUCAUCGAAUCUUUGAACGCACAUUGCGCCCCCUGGUAUUCCGGGGGGCAUGCCUGUCCGAGCGUCAUUGCUGCCCUCAAGCACGGCUUGUGUGUUGGGCCUCCGUCCUCCUCCCGGGGGACGGGCCCGAAAGGCAGCGGCGGCACCGCGUCCGGUCCUCGAGCGUAUGGGGCUUCGUCACCCGCUCUUGUAGGCCCGGCCGGCGCUUGCCGACACAUCAAUCUUUUUUCCAGGUUGACCUCGGAUCAGGUAGGGAUACCCGCUGAACUUAAGCAUAUCAAUAAGCGGAGGA
rnacentral:misc_RNA from 1 species